ACGUAGGGUGCGAGCGUUAAUCGGAAUUACUGGGCGUAAAGCGUGCGCAGGCGGUCUUGCAAGACAGUGGUGAAAUCCCCGGGCUCAACCUGGGAACGGCCAUUGUGACUGCAAGGCUGGAGUACGGCAGAGGGGGAUGGAAUUCCGCGUGUAGCAGUGAAAUGCGUAGAUAUGCGGAGGAACACCGAUGGCGAAGGCAGUCCCCUGGGCCUACUCUGACGCUCAGACGCGACAGCAUGGGGAGCGAACGG
rnacentral:rRNA from 1 species